GUAGUAUGGAAUAGCCAUUAGAAAUGAUGGGUAAUACUGUAUAAUCCCUGCGGGGGAAAGAUUUAUCGCUAUUAGAUGAGCCUACGUUAGAUUAGCUAGUUGGUAAGGUAAUGGCUUACCAAGGCUAUGAUCUAUAGCUGGUCUGAGAGGACGAUCAGCCACACUGGAACUGAGAUACGGUCCAGACUCCUACGGGAGGCAGCAGUGGGGAAUAUUGGACAAUGGGCGAAAGCCUGAUCCAGCUAUGCCGCGUGAGUGAAGAAGGCCUUCGGGUUGUAAAGCUCUUUCAAUAGGGAAGAUAAUGACGGUACCUAUA
rnacentral:rRNA from 1 species